rnacentral:rRNA from 1 species
AGCGAACGCUGGCGGCAGGCUUAACACAUGCAAGUCGAACGCCCGUAGCAAUACGGGAGUGGCAGACGGGAGAGUAACACGUGGGAACGUGCCCUUCAGUUCGGAACAACCAAGGGAAACUUUGGCUAAUACCGGAUACGUCCGUAAGGAGAAAGAUUUAUCGCUGAAGGAUCGGCCCGCGUCUGAUUAGCUAGUUGGUGAGGUAACGGCUCACCAAGGCGACGAUCAGUAGCUGGUCGGAGAGGAUGAUCAGCCUCACUGGGACUGAGACACGGCCCAGACUCCUACGGGAGGCAGCAGUGGGGAAUCUUGGACAAUGGGCGCAAGCCUGAUCCAGCCAUGCCGCGUGGGUGAUGAAGGCCCUAGGGUUGUAAAGCCCUUUCGGCGGGGAAGAUAAUGACGGUACCCGCAGAAGAAGCCCCGGCUAACUUCGUGCCAGCAGCCGCCGUAACAC